GUUCCUGUAGCACAACAGAUAGCGCGUUGGACUUUUAAUCCAAAGGUCAUGGGUUCAAAUUCCACCUGGUAUG